GUGCCAGCAGCCGCGGUAAUACGUAGGGUGCGAGCGUUAAUCGGAAUUACUGGGCGUAAAGCGUGCGCAGGCGGUGAUGUAAGACAGAUGUGAAAUCCCCGGGCUCAACCUGGGAACUGCAUUUGUGACUGCAUCGCUGGAGUGCGGCAGAGGGGGAUGGAAUUCCGCGUGUAGCAGUGAAAUGCGUAGAUAUGCGGAGGAACACCGAUGGCGAAGGCAAUCCCCUGGGCCUGCACUGACGCUCAUGCACGAAAGCGUGGGGAGCAAAACAGGAUUAGAUACCCCUGGUAGUCCCACGCCCUAAACGAUGUACAACUGGUUGUUGGGAA
rnacentral:rRNA from 1 species